rnacentral:rRNA from 1 species
AGAAUCAACGCUGGCGGCGUGCCUAACACAUGCAAGUCGCACGAGAAAGGGACUUCGGUCCUGAGUACAGUGGCGCACGGGUGAGUAACACGUGAAUAAUCUACCUCCGAGUGGGGAAUAACUGAGAGAAAUCUUAGCUAAUACCGCAUAACACUUACGAGUCAAAGCAGCAAUACGCUUGGAGAGGAGUUCGCGGCAGAUUAGUUAGUUGGCGGGGUAAUGGCCCACCAAGACGAUGAUCUGUA